AUUGAACGCUGGCGGCGUGCUUUACACAUGCAAGUCGAACGGCAGCAUGGGAGGUGGCAACACUUUCUGAUGGCGAGUGGCGAACGGGUGAGUAAUACAUCGGAACGUGCCUUAUAGAGGGGGAUAACGAAUCGAAAGAUUUGCUAAUACCGCAUAAUAUCUAAGGAUGAAAGCUGGGGAUCUCGUAAGGGACCUGGCGCUAAAAGAGCGGCCGAUGGCCAAUUAGCUAGUUGGUGAGGUAAAGGCUUACCAAGGCAGAGAUUGGUAGCUGUUCUGAGAGGAAGAUCAGCCACACUGGGACUGAGACACGGCCCAGACUCCUACGGGAGGCAGCAGUGGGGAAUUUUGGACAAUGGGGGAAACCCUGAUCCAGCAACGCCGCGUGAAUGAAGAAGGCCUUCGGGUUGUAAAGUUCUUUUAUCUAGGAGCAAGCUGUAUAUGUGAAUAGCGUGUAUAGUUGAGAGUACUAGAGGAAUAAGCACCGGCUAACUACGUGCCAGCCGCCGCAGUAAGAC
rnacentral:rRNA from 1 species